UAGUUAUCAAGAAAGGUGGAGGGAUUAGACCCUUUGAAGCCUUAGCAACCCUUUGCCCCUUGCAAAGAAGGUGCUAAAUUCUACCCAGCCCAAUGUUUUGGGAUUCCUUGACGGUAUGAGCCGGCAUGGUGGGAAGGAUAACA
rnacentral:ncRNA from 2 species